AUGCCACCUUUGCCUUGGGCGCUACGCAGACAUCGCAGUAGCGUGGCCGAUCUCUCUGUUUGUGGACAGACCCGCGGCUAAGCAUUUCGACCAUCGGCGACGUGGACUUCGCAACCAAGCUUCGCGCACAGAAUCCUCGAUCGGACACGUAGUUAAGCCUUUCAGCACUCGAUGUUUCGGAAUUCGCGACUAAGCACAUCGAGCGUCGACUCCUCGGGCCCGCGGCUAGGCAUUUCGCGCAUCGGCACUUGGGACUGUGCGACUAAGCACAUCGAGCAUCGACUCCUCGGUCCCGCGGCUAGGCAUUUCGCGCAUCGGAAUG
rnacentral:lncRNA from 1 species